CCUCAGAGUAUUUCGAUAUCUAUUUAUAACCUCAAAUAUCGUCACUUGUAUUUAGUUCUUAUAUAUCAACUCCAUGUAAAUAAAUGAUUAUCCAAGGCCCCCUUUAAUUAACAAAUCAUAGUUGAUAACCUCUCUUUUGAAUUCUCUUCAUAAUGUCUGACAUUCUACUAAAAGAAGUUGCACAAUGUAAUUUAUCCCUACAACUAAGCCAAAAAUAGAUACUCAAUCUUCACCAUAUAAAUUACAAUUUAAUCUAAAUAUAAUUUUAUAAUUCUGUCUCACAAACUGACUAUAUCAUUUGAAAAUAAUCUUGUAACCUUUUGUCGAUCUAUCAACAAUGAUCCAAAUACUAUUUUCUCUCCAUUCUAUGUACUAGUAAAUCCAAAUGAAAAAUAUUUGAGGGUAACUGCUUCCAUUCUAAAUUAACAUUAUCUGCAAAAAUUUAAUUGUUCAUGAUUUUCGAAAAUUCUAGUUAUUCCCAACAACAAUUGAGACAGUUCAAUAUGAUAUUCUUUUCCUGUAAUUCUAUAUCACUUAAUGAUAUGUAUACACACAUUCAAUUUCUAACCCUUUCAAAUACAAAUAUACCUUACACUCUAGUGAUCGAUAAUUAUCGAUUUCUCGUAAUGUGAUAACACCACAAUAAAUUCAAACCUAAUAUCAUCGACUCUAAAUCGUGUUUUAAUCAUGUCUCUUUAGCAUUCAUACAUCAUAAUCCAUGAUUAAUCAUUUUAUUUCAGAACAAUUUCUAAACUCUAACCUAACUCAUUAUCAUAAAUAAAACCCUCAUCAACUUUAAAUACAAGAGCAAUUUUUUCCUUGGAAUUUAAUCUGAUAACAAAACUUUUUACAUUACUAAACCCACACAGUCUCAGUGCUCUUUCUUUCUUUGAAGAGAUAAUAAUAACAUUUAAUUCAUGAUAAUUCUAUACUCUUAUUCCCUAAAGAGGCCAUUAACCUAUUACCAAUACAUAAGUUUUAUUUUUUUAUUUUUUUAAUAUAUCACAUAAAGACCUUUAAUUUAGAUAAUGUACCCAAAGGCCAUUCCAUGAUCGAGUAAAAUUUACAUUUGAUGAUCAUCUUAAACCUUAGACUAUCCAACAUAUCAUCCAUAUAUAUAUUCCAUAACAUACAAAUUUUGAAAAGAAUGGAAUACUUUAUUUGUGAGAUUCAAGAAAAUACGAUCGAAAAUGACCCAAAAAUUCAUCACUAAAAUUUUAAUAAAUUCACCUUAACUUCCAAAAUUAGCUCGAAACUUCCAAAUUAUAUAUAACAUAACAAAAUAAUCAACAAAUGGCCUUAACAAAAUUAAUUAACUUAAUAACCAAAAUAUAUCAUCACAUUAUUUUGCUAUAGGACAACCAUCACAUUCAUUUACACGCUAUUUACCAUAUCAUGUCAUGAUCAUGUAACUUUAUCAUUUAUCAUUAUCUCGAAUGACCUAAAACAUUUAUAUCAAUUUUCCUUAAGAUCAUAGAAUAGUAAUCUUCAUAUUUAUCACGUAAACUUUCACACAUCAGUAUACCACCAAGAUUUCAAAUGUUAACUUUCCAAUCUCAAUAAAUUCCAACCAGCAUAAUGUCGCAAAAAUGUCCAUCAUUUAAAGUUCUCUGUCCUCUAUCUGCAUCAUCUAGAGCACAUAAGAAUGACAUCUUCCCAAAACCAAACUUUUUAGUCCUAAUAGAUAAUCAAAUCCCUUAUCAUUACUGACUUUCAUUUUGUCUUUUAAUUGAGUUUAUCUAACAUAGCCAAGCAAAUUAACUUUACCCCAAAAUUAACAAAAAUGGCCAUAAGUAAUCACUUAUGAUUGUGCAUGCUAAUUUCGAAAUUCAUUGAUAAAAAAUAAGGCAAACCGUAUUACCAUAAGUUGUGUAAUCCCAUAUCAUUAUAGUCAGGGCAUUUAUAACUUAUUAUCUUUCCAUGGUACUCUUAUUUCUAAUUACCUUCAGUUCGCCCACUACAUAUAAGGAGACACAUAAUCCUUUUGUUAUAUUUUUCUUUGACUGCAUCCUAAACUCGUCAAAUCUUUCUUCCAAAUACCUAUCACUCACAUAAUAUAAUUGGAAAAGCUGAAAAACAGAGUAAGAUACUUUCACGUGACAACCUCUCUAUUUCUUAUUCCAUGUCUAUUUAUUUUCUCAAAUAAGGAAAUAAAAUAUAACGCCAAGAUUUUAUUUUUCCUUCCUUGUUAAUGAAUAUCAUCUUGAACACCAAACUUAUUUCCCAUAACUAGAAUGUCAUGGUCCCAAUAACGAAAUAUGGUUCCAAAUCCUCCUAGAUCUUCAAAUUUCUAAAAAAAAUUGUGGUAGGGACCCCCUCAGAGCACAAAAAUGUGUCAUUGCAUUGGCUUUGUUGGAUCUUAUUAUGUGGGAAAAAUUAAAAAAUAAUAAUAAUAAAAAACUUUGCAUGGUUGAUUCCUUUCCUCUCUUCACUUAUCCCUUUGCUACUACUUGUUAUCAAUUGGACCAUAAUGCAAUUUGCUGUGUUGAAAGGACACUGGACCUGAAUAAGCAAGGAAGGGUUUUUCACUAUUACAGUGCAACCAUAUUGCUCGUUCAUAAGGUGGUGGUAAAAUGUUAGACAAUAAUAAAUAUGAAAAAAAAAGAAACGAAGUUAAAAAAGCAGACUUGAGUAAUAUUGUAUACAAAACGUGCCCUGUUUGUGUUGCUGUAAUCAAUAAUUACGACAAAUAGUGGAAAGUCCAAUAAUGUUAUUUCCUUUCAUACCUUUCAUACUCGAUCUUAAUGAAGUAGAAAGAAAGGAUUAAAAAAAAAGGUAGUUGCACCUAAUGUGGGGUUAGAAUACAUUAAUGCUCAAGAAGGAAUUAUUUGAGGUGGGCCUUGACCAACUUCACCCUUUAUGUUCAUCUUUUUAGGAGAAAAAUGAAAAAAGAUAGAUAGUUCCAUCGUUUUCGGUGGACUGCAGCCAGUAUCAUAUUUUCUUCAAUUUCUUAAUGCAAGAGAAAGGGUUUAAAAGAAUCAAAAAUCGAUUUCGGGGACUAAAAUGUAACAUAUGGAAGAAAUUUUGCCUGGGCGACAGCCUAGUUAUAAAAGCCGGGCAAUCGCGGCAAAAAAAUUCUGGUUUCUUUUUCUAAUUAAAACUCUUAUGGAAACAAAUCUUGGGAGUCUUUUAAAACCCUAAGGACGUCCAAAAACGGGGAGAACGCAUUGGGAGACAAGAAAUCACAUCUUGGAGAGAAUUUUGAGCGAAAUUAACGAAGGAUUGCACGAAGAUCAAGAAGAUUUAUCAAAAAUUCAUAACCCGGUGAUGCUUCCUCUUCAAUAUAUGAUGUAUUUCGAUAUUAUUUCCAUGUUAGGCUAGAUUUACAUGUACUAGGAGAUCAAUAUACCAUGUGAUGAGACCUUUAAAUUUCUAGUUUUACAAUUUGACAUCAAAACACGUUUUGAUUGUUUGAAUGAUUUAUAUGCAAUUAUUAUUUUUCACAAUUAAGGGCUCGUAAUUGUGUGAAUUUGGGUGACUUGUUC
rnacentral:lncRNA from 1 species